CUAGCCCUGGCCCUGGGACCUUGAUGGACCCCGGCGUCCUCGGGGCCUGGACCAUCUGCAAGCGCCAUGAGUUCAACCUGAAAACAGAUUGAGCAGGAGCAGCUCGUCGGCUGGUGGCGACUGGCGACCACAAAUGGCGCUCAAGCUAGUGUUGACGCCACACCACACGCCCUUACUGCUCAGGCCUCUCCGCCGCCCGGACUGAAAGCCGGGAGGCAUGCAAAUUACCCUUGCCCCACAAUGUAGCUGGCCAAUAAGCUGCGGCGCUCUUGGAGCCUGCACCGCCCGCAAGC